UACGGGGGGGGCAAGCGUUGUUCGGAAUUACUGGGCGUAAAGGGCUCGUAGGUGGCCAACUAAGUCAGACGUGAAAUCCCUCAGCUCAACUGAGGACGUGCAUCCGAAACUGCAAGGCUUGAGUACUGAAGAGGAUCGCGGAAUUCCCGGUGUAGAGGUGAAAUUCGUAGAUAUCGGGAGGAACACCAGUGGCGAAGGCGGCGAUCUGGGCAGAUACUGACGCUGAGGUGCGAAAGCGUGGGGAGCAAACAGG
rnacentral:rRNA from 1 species